rnacentral:rRNA from 1 species
CGCAGUCGAACGGUGAAGCAGAGCUUGCUCUGUGGAUCAGUGGCGAACGGGUGAGUAACACGUGAGCAAUCUGCCCCUGACUCUGGGAUAAGCGCUGGAAACGGCGUCUAAUACCGGAUACGAGCUGCGACCGCAUGGUCAGUAGCUGGAAAGAAUUUCGGUCAGGGAUGAGCUCGCGAGCCUAUCAGCUUGUCCGUGAGCUAAUGACUCACCAAGGCGUCGACGGGUAGCCGGACUUGAGAGGGUGAACGGCCACACUGGAACUGAGAUCACUGGCCCAGACUCCUACCGGAGGCAGCAGUGGGGAAUAUUGCACAAUGGGCGAAAGCCUGAUGCAGCAACGCCGCGUGAGGGAUGACGGCCUUCGGGUUGUAAACCUCUUUUAGCAGGGAAGAAGCGAAAGUGACGGUACCUGCAGAAAAAGCGCCGGCUAACUACGUGCCAGCAGCCGCGGUAAUACGUAGGGCGCAAGCGUCAUCCGGAAAUUAUUGGGCGUAAAGAGCUCGUAGGCGGUCUGUCGCGUCUGCUGUGAAAACCCGAGGCUCAACCUCGGGCCUGCAGUGGGUACGGGCAGACUAGAGUGCGGUAGGGGAGAUUGGAAUUCCUGGUGUAGCGGUGGAAUGCGCAGAUAUCAGGAGGAACACCGAUGGCGAAGGCAGAUCUCUGGGCCGUAACUGACGCUGAGGAGCGAAAGGGUGGGGAGCAAACAGGCUUAGAUACCCUGGUAGUCCACCCCGUAAACGUUGGGAACUAGUUGUGGGGUCCAUUCCACGGAUUCCGUGACGCAGCUAACGCAUUAAGUUCCCCGCCUGGGGAGUACGGCCGCAAGGCUAAAACUCAAAGGAAUUGACGGGGACCCGCACAAGCGGCGGAGCAUGCGGAUUAAUUCGAUGCAACGCGAAGAACCUUACCAAGGCUUGACAUAUAGAGGAAACGUCUGGAAACAGUCGCCCCGCAAGGUCUCUAUACAGGUGGUGCAUGGUUGUCGUCAGCUCGUGUCGUGAGAUGUUGGGUUAAGUCCCGCAACGAACGCAACCCUCGUUCUAUGUUGCCAGCACGUAAUGGUGGGAACUCAUGGCAUACUGCCGGGGUCAACUUCGGAGGAACGUGGGGAUGACGUCAAAUCAUCAUGCCCCUUAGUAGUCUUGGGCUCUCACGCAUGUUCUACAAUGGCCGGUACAAAGGGCUGCGAUAUACCGUUGAGGUGGAGCGAAUCCCAAAAAGCCGGUCCCAGUUCGGAUUGAGGUCUGCAACUCGACCUCAUGAAGUCGGAGUCGCUAGUAAUCGCAGAUCAGCAACGCUGCGGUGAAUACGUUCCCGGGUCUUGUACACACCGCCCGUCAAGUCAUGAAAGUCGGUAACACCUGAAGCCGGUGGCCCAACCCUUGUGGAGGAGCCUCAAG